UUGGGUGAAAUCAAUGUAGGAUCUACACUUUGGAAAUAGAACUCACAUAAAGUGGUGAGAUAUACAUUAAUUUUAUCCAA
rnacentral:pre_miRNA from 1 species